rnacentral:rRNA from 1 species
ACUCAAAGGAAUAGACGGGGGCCCGCACAAGCGGAGGAGCAUGUGGCUUAAUUCGAUGCAACGCGAAGAACCUUACCCAGACUCGACUUGUGACUGCACGGCCGUUGAAAGACGGUCUCCUUCGAGGGUGUCACACAGGUGCUGCAUGGCUGUCGUCAGUUCGUGCCGUGAGGUGUUCGGUUAAGUCCGUCAACGAACGCAACCCCUGCCGUUAGUUGCCAACAGGUAAUGCUGGGAACUCUAACGGGACCGCCCCUUCAAACGGGAGGAAGGUGGGGAUGAUGUCAAGUCAGCAUGGCCCUUACGUCUGGGGCCGCACACGUGCUACAAUGGCUGGUACAGAAGGACGCGAUGCCGCGAGGCGGAGCAAACCCCCAAAACCAGCCCCAGUUCGGAUUGGAGUCUGCAACCCGACUCCAUGAAGUUGGAUUCGCUAGUAACGGCGUAUCAGCAUUUGACGCCGUGAAUACGUUCCCGGGCCUUGUACACACCGCCCGU